UACGGAGGGGGCGAGCGUUAUUCGGAAUUAUUGGGCGUAAAGAGCUCGUAGGCGGUUUGUCGCGUCUGCUGUGAAAACUGGAGGCUCAACCUCCAGCCUGCAGUGGGUACGGGCAGACUAGAGUUCGGCAGGGGAGACUGGAAUUCCUGGUGUAGCGGUGAAAUGCGCAGAUAUCAGGAGGAACACCGGUGGCGAAGGCGGGUCUCUGGAACGCAACUGACGACUGGAGAACGCGAAAGCGUGGGGAGCAAACAGG
rnacentral:rRNA from 1 species